AGCGGCGGACGGGUGAGUAAUGCCUAGGAAUCUGCCUGGUAGUGGGGGAUAACGCUCGGAAACGGACGCUAAUACCGCAUACGUCCUACGGGAGAAAGCAGGGGACCUUCGGGCCUUGCGCUAUCAGAUGAGCCUAGGUCGGAUUAGCUAGUUGGUGAGGUAAUGGCUCACCAAGGCGACGAUCCGUAACUGGUCUGAGAGGAUGAUCAGUCACACUGGAACUGAGACACGGUCCAGACUCCUACGGGAGGCAGCAGUGGGGAAUAUUGGACAAUGGGCGAAAGCCUGAUCCAGCCAUGCCGCGUGUGUGAAGAAGGUCUUCGGAUUGUAAAGCACUUUAAGUUGGGAGGAAGGGCAGUUACCUAAUACGUAAUUGUUUUGACGUUACCGACAGAAUAAGCACCGGCUAACUCUGUGCCAGCAGCCGCGGUAAUACAGAGGGUGCAAGCGUUAAUCGGAAUUACUGGGCGUAAAGCGCGCGUAGGUGGUUCGUUAAGUUGGAUGUGAAAUCCCCGGGCUCAACCUGGGAACUGCAUUCAAAACUGACGAGCUAGAGUAUGGUAGAGGGUGGUGGAAUUUCCUGUGUAGCGGUGAAAUGCGUAGAUAUAGGAAGGAACACCAGUGGCGAAGGCGACCACCUGGACUGAUACUGACACUGAGGUGCGAAAGCGUGGGGAGCAAACAGGAUUAGAUACCC
rnacentral:rRNA from 1 species